UUGUAACACCUUGAGGAAGACGUCCAAGAUGCUUACCAUACAAGUCCUUGUAGCUCUGGUCUCUGUGACCCUUGUCCAAGGAGAAAUAGUUUUCUCCCAGUCUCCCUCAGUAGUCCCUGUGUCUCUUGGAGAAUCUGUCACUCUGGAGUGCUUGGUUAAGGGUGAUAAUGUCAGCAGAAUAGGUGUGCCCUGGAUUCGUCAGACCCCUGGGAAACAACCUGAAGGAGUAGCGUAUUUUACUUCUGAUAAAAAGAUCUACAGACCCUCUGCGAUCCCUGAUCGGUUUGUGCCGUCCAGAGAUGAAUCCAAGAACAGCUAUCUUCUCACUGUGAGCAACAUUCAGGAAGGUGAUGACUCCAUCUAUUACUGUUUCAAGUACUAUACUGAUGGCGAACAGACAUGGGGAGAAGGAACUCGCAUCAAAGUUCUCAAAAGCGGCCUCCCCCCUCCUGUCCUCCAGCUCUUCCCUCCGCCCACACAAGAGGUCUCCGCUAACGGCUCGGUGACGGUCACCUGCUUGGUGAGCGGUUUCUACCCCGGCUUCGUCGACGUGAGCUGGAGUGUGGACGGCGCCCCGGUCACCAGCGGCGUGCACAGCGCCCCCGUGUGGCUGGACAGCGCCAACGCCGCCCAGAACACCUACGUCACCAGCAGCUCCCUGAGCCUGCCCGCGGCGGAGUGGCAGACUCACGCGCUCUACUCCUGCAUCGCCAAGCACGAGUCCAGCCCCACGCCCGUCAUAGCAUCCAUCACCCCGCAGGGCUGCUGAGCGCCCCCUGGUGGCUCGAGAGGCUUCAGCAUGCUGCUAUGUGAACGCAAAUGUCAAGAUGUAUGAUCUCUGCAAUUAAAACUCCUUCUCCUAAUGUAUCGCUUCAAUUCAAGUAUAAUAAAGACACAUGA